UCUUUGGAUAAGAGUACUUUAUUCAUAUCAUAUAUAUGUUGUUUACAUUUUUACAAAAAUACAGAAUACAGUAGUUGCCCAGCUUUCGCCUGGGUCACAAUUACUUUUUGUUUUGGCACCCAGGCUAACUUCCUGCCUACACGCCUGUUGUUUGUUUUCCUCAGUGGAACACAUAGACGCAGAAUUCCCCAAUUAUAAUAAUAGAAUUCUAAAUAUGGAAUUCUAUUUCUAUUGACCUGGUCCCAGAAGCACUGUUCAGGGACCUGGUCAUUUCAAUCUAAAUAAGCAAAAAACAUAUAAUAAUUAAUACCAGAACAGAGCUCUCUUCAUCAUGGACCACAGGACUGAGGCUCCAUGGAAACACACUGUGGUUACUUUCCAAACAAACCCUAUUCAUUACAGUACUGUGAGGGAGAAGUACACUCCCUGAAAACCACUUUGUUUUUGUUUCAUAUUUUUACAUGUAUUCAUUUAUCGUAAUUUCAACACUAUUGACAGGUAAACUUAACCUAAUUUAUUGAAGAACACUGAAAAUGAUAAGUUGCAAUAGUUUACAUAUUUAAUAACAAUAAAAGUAAUUUUCUUUUGCAGAAAACGUUAGUACACCCAUAGAUGUAUUAUCCUAUCAAACAAUCAGGUGCAUUAAAACAGGUAUAGAAAAUCAUCAAAUUCCACUGAAAUUCAACACUACUGUUGUUUGCUCCUUGGGGUUUAAGGUCGAGUGUUUCUGUAAAAGCACUUUGUGACAUCUGCUGAUGUAAAAAGGGCUUUAUAAAUACAUUUGAUUGAUUGAUUGAUUGAUUAAAGAGCAACUUAUAUACAUUCCUUACAUAAAAAAAAAAUGUUUGGUCUUUUUUUUAUACAUGUAUAAGAUCUUACCUAUAUCAAAAUAACUCUGAGGCCUGCAGAAGGAAGGUCUUUGUUCUGCAAAAAAAACCUCCCAGUCAAUUUUGGAGUUUGAUAAACUAGAAAGGCCUAUAUUAAGUUAUUUACAGUAAUGGUGGCAACAUUUGCACAAUUAUAUUUUUAUAGAUACAAAUAUGUAAAUAAUUAUUGCAAAGUGUAAUUUCUCAGUGUUACUUGGUAAAUGAAGUUACCUUUAUGUGUCAAAAGUGUUGAAGAUCAUAUAUCCAUAUAUUUAAUCACACAAUGCUUUCAUAAAGUAUUCAGACCACUUCAUUUAAACCACAUUUCGUUAUGCUAUUGAUUAAAUUUAUAAUUGAUUGCUUAAAUUUCUUUGCCAUAAGUCUACAUGUAAUGACAAAGCAAGAACACUUUCCAUUCGUGCCAAUUUAUUGAGGAAAGUAUUCAAACAUUUUCCUCAGAACUUUGUAGGACUUUUGACAAUGAUUACGGCUUUGAGUCUCUUUUCGGUUUGCCUCUAAUGGCUUUUUAUUUGGGCAUUUUCUCUAGAUCCUAUCAAUAAGAUUGGAUGUGGAGCAUUGGUGAACUAAGAUCUUCAGAUUUUCCCACAGAUGUUCAAUGGGAAUCAGGUAUGGGCUUUGACUGGGCCACUCAAGGACAUUCACAGACUUGUUCCAAAGCUAAAGCGUUGGAUGUGUGCUUCAUGUCAUUGUCAUGCUGAAGGAUGAAUCUUGAGCCAGUCUGAGGUCUAAUGUGCUCUGAAUCAGGUUUUCUUCAAGGACCUCUCUGUUUUUUUCUGUGUUCAUCCUUCCCUCAAUCCUGACCAGUCCCUGCCGCUGAGAAGCCUGACCAUAGCAUGAUGCAUCCAUCACCAUGCAUCUUCAUAGGUAUGACAUUCGCAAGGUAAUUGUUUUCUCCAGAUGUUGUGACUGACAUUCAGGCCUAAUAGUGAGGAUGUAUCUGAGCUUAAAUGAAUUAAAACAAACUUACAUUUUAUUUUUUUGCUUUGUCAUUUUGGGGUAUAGUGUGUAGAUAGACAUAACAAAAUGUGAAGAAUGCACUCUACUGUUAAAACGUUUGGGGUCACUUAGAAAUGUUUUAUUUUCCAUGAAAACAAUGGCUUUUUUUCAAAUGAUCUUCCAUUUGCAGCAAUUACAGCCUUGCAGACCUUUGACAUUCUAUUUGUUCAUUUGUUGACAUAAUCUGGAGGGAUUUCACCCCAUGCUUCCUGAAGCACCUCCCACAGGUUGGAUUGGCUCGAUGAGCACUUUUUAACGUACCAAACAGUAAAACUGCUCCCACAACAGCUCAGUAAGGUUGAGAUCCGGUGACUGUGCUGGCCACUCUAUUAUAGACAGAAUACCAGCUGACUGCUUCAUCCCUAAAUAGUUCUUGCAUAGUUUGGAGCUGUGCUUUGGGUCUAUUUCAAGCGCCAAAUCAUACAUGGCAUGGUGUUGCAAAAUGAAGUGAUAACCUUCCUUCUCAAGAUCCCUUUUAACCUGUACAAAUCUCCCACCUUACCACCACCAAAGCACCCCCAGACCAUCAGAUGAUUGACAGAUGUCUUCAAGCACUCCUGCAGCCUCUUUACAUUUGGUCUGCGUCCCACAAUUGUUCUUAUUUGUAAUUGGAACACCUCAAACUUAGCAAUCAUUCUCUUUCCAGUGUCUGUGUUUUGGCCUUCUUAAUUAUUUUCUUAUUAUUGUCCAGCCUGAGAUGUGCCUUUUUCUUUGCAAUUCUGCCUAGAAGGCCAGCAUCCUGGAGUUGCCUCUUCCCUGUUAACAUUGAGACUGGUGUUUUGAGAUUACUAUUUAAUGAAGCUGCCAGUUGAGGACCUGUGAGGCAUCUGUUUCUCAAACUGGACACUAAUGUAUUGGUCCUCUUGCUCAGUUGUGGACCGCAGCCUCCCUCUGUUCUUUCUAUUGUGGUUAGAGCAGGUUUGCGCAGUUCUGUGAAGGGUGCAGUACACAACAAGAUAAUUCGUUUCUUGUCAAUUUUUCGCAUGGAAUUGCCUUCAUUUCUCAUAACAAGAAUCGACUGAUGAGUUUCAGAAGAAAGUUAUUUGUUUGUGGCCAUUUUGAGCCUGUUAUCAAAUCCAAAAUUGCUGAUGCUUCAUAUACUCAACUCGUCUAAAGGCCACACAACAUGCCAUUGAAAAACCACAGGACUGAUGGUUGCUGAUAAAGGGCCUCUGUAUGCCUAUGCACAAAUCCAGGUAGCAGCGUUGAAAACACCACAAGUGAGGGAAUGCGUGUAUUGGUAAAAGUACUACAUAUGGUCGAGCAUCAAACUUAAUACAAAAGGUUAAGUUCUUCAUAACGUCUGUCAACAAUAGGAGUGUAUGCCUAUUUGAGGGCUUGCAUUUCUGCAUUUGCACAACUGUGUAUCGAGCAGUUUUAUUCAACAUGUAAGAUAGCAACCAAAUUGUGCAAAUAUGCUGCUGUUUUCCUACAUACUCUUAAUUCAUAUAAUAGUUGGGUUCCUUCUGGAUAAGGAGCUAAAUAUUCACCUCACAGAUUAUACCACUUUUCAAAAUGUAUAAAUAUACUAGUAAUUUAAAAACCUUAUAUUCUGGGAUUUGGUGUAUGUGGAACACUUUCAAAUCUUAUUGUUACCACCAAAACAGAUGUUUUAGCUGAAUUUGGCUUUUCAAAAAGUUGAACUUGAGUGCAACUGUAACAAUGCUGUAUAUGUGCAAUACACAGAAAAUGCAUUAUGGCUGGUUAGGCUGCCAUGCUGAAGUGUAGGUACCUCUGUAACUGCUGCUCAUCUGGUGAACCUCAAUCUCCAGAAUCUGAAUCUGAUACCAUAUCGGUUCACUUUAGGCUAGACCACCUCAUUGCUGUGCAUUGAAGGCAUAGACAGACCUUAAGUUAUUAAACCCUUAAAUGUUAAUUUCUGUCAGUAUGGAUAUGUAAGAUCUACACUUGAUCUAAAACAUAAUUUGUUACUGUGUACAGUGAGUUAAAUGGAAGUUAGUCAAAGCAGCACAUCUGUGUUCAUCCACACCUCCAACAAAUGCCUUUCCUAGGACCCUUUCAUAAACAACACCAUGUAUGUGUGUGUAAAUAGCUCCAUGUUUCUCUUAAGAAUAUACUACAUAACACAUGUUCAUACAUGCUUGUGUGCUGCUUGUGUAGGCUUUAUGCAUGGCAGAAGUAUGGGUUAUGUAGUCCUUAUAAUGUGCCUGUAGUCAUUUGGGGCUCCAUUCAAUCAAACCUGCAUUGCAGUAUUUACACAGUAAUUAUUUUUCCAAUGGUGAAACGAACUCAGAAAUUAUAUUACUGGUCACAGGCCUGCUUAUUGAAAAUAAGGUUGAAUAUUGAAAAUAAAAACACUGAGUAAAUAUUGCUAUGGUGGGUUUAGAUAAGCUGAUUAAUUUUCUUUUUUUCCCACAACCGCAGCAAUAAGCUGCUAUCAGCAUUUCGAGUAAAUAAAUAAAUACAUCACACAUGGCCAAAAACAUAAACAAAACAGAUGGUUAGAUCCGUUAAUAUUUCUAGCUAACUAAUUUGAACAUUUGUUCUCAGGGAGUGGAAUGCUGCUGAGAAAAAGGUGAGUUAAGUAAGGGCGACUAGAGGUAGUCCUUUAUGCUUUAGAAAGCCAUUUGUAGGAGGUUUUCUCUGCCCCAUUCUUCAGUAAUAGACCUCCAGCCAAACCCACACAAUGUUCUUAUGGGGGAAGGCUUUUUCCCGUUCACUGUGUUUUUGUCAUAUUUCAAUAAUUUUUAGUGCCUCCAGAUGUUUCCACGGUGAUGUUACUCUUCUUUUAGCUUCCCUUGACGAAAAUGUUAUAGUAGACGAUGGAUUAAUAUAUUAAUGUACGAAGAAAUCAAGCUUUCCCCACCUCAUAGCAGGUGUGAUACAACAGAGUAGACAUCCAUUUGGUCCAUGCAAUGCCAUUCUCUGGUUCUCUUAUGUGAGCACUGACAGUUUCUGGGCAGGAAUGAAGUCUUUCAUCUCAGAAAUAUUCGUAAGAAAUUCUGUUUUUUACGUUUGCUUUUGUUUGGUUGCUCUUUCUCCGAAGCGCCUAUGUAUACC
ensembl:lncRNA